GACGAACGCUGGCGGCGUGCUUAACACAUGCAAGUCGAACGGGAUCCAUGUUGUAGCAAUACUUCGGAAGAUCUAGUGGCGAACGGGUGAGGAACACGUGAGGAACCUGCCCCGGACUUCGGGAUAACAGUUGGAAACGAUUGCUAAUACCGAAUACCUCUGCGAAGUGGCAUCACUUUGCAAAGAAAGAUUUAUCGCCCCUGGAUGGGCCCGCGUUGGAUUAGCUAGUUGGUGAGGUAACGGCUCACCA
rnacentral:rRNA from 1 species